AUGGAGGCGGCGAUCGGCGACGACCACACCUGGUACGAGUUCCUCCCCAUCCUCUCCUGGAUCAUCGCCGACGCCGCGGUGGCUCGCCAGACGCUGGAGCAGGCGGCGCAGCAGCUCGACCUUGCCGCCGCGGAGGCGAACCGCCUCGCCGCCAUAGCCCAUUGGGCCUCCUACUCGACGGUCCUGUGUCUCCUCCGCCGCGACAUCUACGUCGCCCUCGACCUCGACCGCGACCGGGUCGCCGAUCUCCGCCGCGAGGAGCCCCUCGCCGCCGCCGCCGCUGAGCCAGGCCCGGGCGCCGCCCUGCGCCCCAACUGUGGCCUUCUGGUCAACGUCGGCUGCGGGAUCGACCUCCUCCUGCGCACCGAGCCUCCCGAGCAUGUCAUGCACUCCUUCUCGCUGCGCUGGGAGGAGGACCGCGACGCCUGGUACCCGGGCUGGCUCCACCGCGUGAAGAGGGAGGUCACGCACGCGCUCCACAGGCUGAACCACGCGCGCUCGGAGGCGGAGCGUGUUCACCCGGAUCUGGCUCGUUUUCUCGCCGUGCCGAUGUCAUCGGAGCCCGAGGGAGCGGCCACCGCCGUCGAGGCAUGUGUCGCGACCGCCGAGAGGUGCGGCACGGCGGCUCAGCACGCCCGUGAGGCCUCGGAGAAUCUGCGCCGCGUCCUGGUCACCCUGCGAGGCCUCCGCGAGGACAUUCUGGAUGAGCCGCCUCCCAGACGCGUGAUGCAGUUCUUCGGCCCGCCGAUCGCCGACGCCGACGCCGACGCCGACGCAGGGAAAAUGCAAGCCUCAAUUGUUUGUGCACUAGUGAGAAGGCUAAGCAUAUAUGCCUUCAAGAUAAUUAAGGAUGUGGGGUUACAUCAGACUAAUCCUUUUGGAGCCCAAAUCAUCCUGGAUCGAGUGUAA
rnacentral:rRNA from 1 species